GGCCAAAAACCAACCCAAUCCCCUCCCCGUUCGUAUCCUCCCCAAACCCCUCCGGCUCGGCCGCCGCCACAGCCACUCGCGCCACCAUUUUCUCCAGUCCCUGGCUCUCUUCCCGCUCGAGCUCCAGUCCACCGAGGCCACGCCGCCGCUGCGUUCUGCCUCACCGCUGCUCCCAGUUCAUCUUCUGUUCACGCUGGCUUGCGUUGGCGGAGCUCACGACGGUCGACGGUCCUGGCAAGAUGCGGUGGUGAUUCUCCUCGGCCAGAGCAUGAAAACCUCACCAUCCCUAGAUUGCAGUUUUGUCCGUGUGUACAGAAGCUGCUUGUGUAAAUGCCUACAUGCAAAUAGCCAAAUACUACUAAUGGAAGAUGACCAUGUGUGUGCAUCUUCUUUUGUUUGGAGAGGAUGAUUAGAUGCCAAACUCGACAGUGUCGCCUCGUUGUCACCAUCGCCGGGAGAAGCACUGCCUCAAGUCGUCGACACCAGCGCAACCUCAUGUCGUCGUCGUCGGGACCAGCGUCUCCUCACGCUGUUGAGCUCAGAGACAUGCAUAGAUUUCUCCAUACACGACUUGCAUCGGCCCAAAGUGCUAGGUGAACUCCAUAUAUAGGAUGCAGCAGCGGAAAUAUGUAUGAUGUUUCUGUUAGAGCAAUUGUCCAAUGAAUUGGCAUGGGAUUUACAUAUGGACUGGCCGUUUGUUCAUGUGCUUUACAACUCUGGGUUGGAAGACACCUGAUCGCUUGUGGGAAAGCUGAUGGUGGUGAUUGGUGAAGUUGUGCUAGCUUUAUUCGCCGUAAUUCUGAGUGGCAUUGGUCUGAACCAGGCAGCUACAAACUUCUAUUCAUUUGAGCAAGGGUGAAUUGCUGCUUACAGACUAUAUAUGUGAUGAUAAGCCAGUCAACUGCAAGCACCAAUCUUGAAGGUAUCACCAUAUGCUAAGUGCAGGGGAACAUCGAAUUCAGGAACAUGUACUUCAGUUAUCUCUCAUGUUUCUGGUUCAGAAUCUCAUGGUACAAAGGCAAUUUUAACCCUUUGGACUAUGUGACAUUGUGCAAGGCACAAUAAUAAUAACUUGAUUCCACUUCUUAGAAGCUGACCUAGCUUUAAGCAUUAUGUGUUACAGCAUGUUUGACCUCUAUUUUUUAUUCUAUUUGCAUUGCUGCACAUCUCAUUAAUUCUUUUAUCCACUUAUCCUGUAAGAAUCACAGUUCAUAGCUUGAUGAAGUUGUUCUUACAUUCCCUGAAGAAAUGGCAAUUUCUGGGAGAUGAAACCUGAUUGCAAUCUUUCUUAAUUUUCUUAUAGGCUAGCUAAGUAGAAUUUUAAAUAUUGUUGUUACAUUUAAUUUUGAAAUGUUUGGGGUACAUUUUCGUUAGCUGGUUAUAAAACUACAUGAAAAUAUUGUGUGAAAACUAAAGCAUGCAGCUUACAUGGCUCUGUAAAAUUACAUGAUAAUAUUCAGGGGAUUAGGUUGGCCAUGUGAUGGUAGGCCCAUCAAUAGAGUGAUAUCAAUUGAAGAUCAAAAAUAGGAAAAAUAUACUGGACCUCAGUCUAGCCGACGAUGUGCAAGUUAACAUGCUGUAGGUUCAGAGUUAAUUUUAUAUUGAACUAUGAUUACAUUUUAGUUUUUCCGUGUCAAGGGGUUAGCUCCGACCAUGAGUGGUUGUUUAAUAUUUGAUACAUGAAUGCACAUGAUAGAGAAGUAUUAGUUAGAAUAUUUAUAAAUUCAUAACUUUCUUGGGGUGCUUAAGAAUUUUACCGCCUUCCCAUGCUGUUUGGAGCACUCCAUUUCAUUUUGCAUUUAGAAAAGCUACUUAUCUUUUUUAAGUUUUUCCUUAGAUGAGAAAACACUUCAAAAUAUUCUGGCUGAAUUUUUGGUGUUGGACCAUGCAAAUAAAGCAUGUAGGAGGCCAAGGUUCAAAUCAGGGAGAACACUUUCUUAUAUGUGUACCUACCACUCCUAUCUCUUCUUAAAUCUGUGUAGGUCCUUGUACAUUUUAAUUAUGAUUCACUUCCACGCUGCCACCCUUGAAAUAAGUUUGUCUAUAUUGCUAAGAGAUAUUUAAAUGUCUAUUUAUGCGGCACUCACUAUGUAUUUUUGUCUGCAUCCUUGAAGGAGUUUCCUCCGUAUAAUCCUAGGUGGGAACACAAUUGAUUUCCAUGUGGAGAUGUAAUAUACUAUUAUGCAUUUCGUAUGUAGCUGAAAAGUAAGGUUUGGGAGGUCCACUCGGGUUGUUAGGCCUCAAAAUUCUUCCCAGAGAAGGAAUUUGACAGUUGACACCUUUAUUAUUUAGUUGACUGUUGAUCCAUGGUGUUUUCCUACACAUGUAUCAUCAAUGCUUGCUAUUAAGUAGCAUCGCUUUACUGCUGAACAAAGACACUAAUAUGUUGUUUGUAGGUUGUCACAGAUAGUGCUGUUUCUGUAUGGUAGCACAUAUUUACUAAUCUUUUACAAGACAAACCAUGUUUAUUUGAUAAACCUGGUUAUUUUGAAAACUCCAGGUUUAAGUUUUUGCCAUGCAGUAAUAUAAUAGGCUGAAAUAAUGGAAGUACAAUUUUUCUUUCUGUCCAUUAAUAUGGAAGAAAGUCUCUACUAACGGAUAUGUACUACAACUGUGUAAUGCUAGAAUAAAGACUAAUCUCUAUUUUGAUUUUUCUUUUGGUUUUCUGGGUUGUAAUCAGAAUGUUCAUGCAUACUAAAUCUUGAUUAGAUUUUCCAAUGGUUUAGUAAGCCUUUUGUUCUGGAUCUUGAUUGUUUUGUAGUGGUACUGGUUAUUAGGAACUUCUACCAACUACACAUUUUUUCCCCAUUUUAAUAUGUGGGCAUGCCACAUUGGAGUUGGGUUUAUUAGUAGGUAUCUACUUCUACAACUCUUCGAUGGAAUAUUGUUGAUUGAUAUUUCCAUGUGUAUCUUACAGCUAAUCGGGCUUUUUUACGUUGAUUGUGUCAUGUCUUUGCUCAUUGCCUAUAUAUCUGUAACUCCUCGCUACACAUAAUUCAAACUUUACCGGCUAAAGUGACUUUGAUAGUGUGCCUUUUUGCAAUGUUAUUUGUUAAGAUGGAGACCAACUGACCCUAAUUAUGAAAAAGUACUACUCCUGGUGCCUGGUACAUUAGAGAAUGGCAAAAGGUCCUCUUUCGUCUAGCAAGAUACAUGCCUGGCCAAAAUGAGAUGGUAUGUGCCGGCCGAAUGUUAUUUCGUCUUACAAGAUAUAGCAAUAAAUCCCCUGUCUUCCAAGGAUACCAAUAGCAAACAUGCUGUCAUGGCCUUAUGCUCUGUUGAUUUUAUAUGCAUGUUUCCAUGUUAUGUUAAUAUUUUUUUGUCUUUGCGGGUACCUGACAAGAGAAAAUCAUUUCAAUUGUCAGUGGUAUCUAGGUAAGCUGCAUCCAAUACCAUCUUUGAGUUCAUAUAUAACUACAUAUUGGAUCAUAAGGUUUAUGUAACCAAGUAAGUUGCACUCCAUGCCUUCAACAUUCGAUUAGUUCAUGUUUUCCAUUAUCUUAUAGUCUUUACCUUCUAUACAAUUUUGUACCGGCAGAUAUCAACAGGUAUCCUAUUUUUGUUGUGUUAAUUCAUAUUGAUAUUUUUUGGUUUUCAUGCCAUUUUCCAAGAAUACUUGGUUAACAGACAUAAGGCAGCAGCCGAAUUUAAGCAAAGUUUGGCAGCAGCAGAAUUUAAGCACAGUUUCAGGUUUUAUGGCAUUUAUGGAUAAUACAUCCACCUUAGUCAUUUUGACACUGUCAUGCUUCAGGGUAUAUUAUACUUUGAUGGUUAGAAGGACUUAGGACAUUAUUUUUACAAUAUUAUGGCAAAUUUAGCUUGCUUUUGUACCCCAGUAGUAUUGGAGAUCUCAACUCUAUCAUUCCAGUCCCAUCCUUGCAAUAAUUCCAUUAGGUGGAGCACUACUUUCCUCCUUUUCCCAUUUAAUAGGCUAAUCAAGAUUUAGUUGUGUCUCUUCACGUUGUAGGAUUGUCUCCCUUCAGAUUGUAGGAUCAGAUCCUUUUAUAGACCAUUUCACUUCGAGACUAAAAUCGUUAAAUAUAUGUUGAAUGAUUCAUUCCCUCAGUGUAUACUUUUCUCGCAUCUAUCAUAGGAUUGCAUGCCUUUUAAUUGGAAUCCUCCCUUAUGUGUGCAGACAUGGACUGCAUGGCUUUUUAUUUGAAUCCUCAAUGAUGUGGGUAGAGGUGGACUGUUUUCAAUGGACCAGUUGUUUCCGAGUGCGGAUGAUAGGGUGUAUCCGUAAUAUAAUUCUCUAAUACCGUGUGUAUAUAAAUGUUUGCUACUCUAUGGUUUCAUGUGAUUUAUCCUAUUAAGAAGCAUAUUAUAAUUUUUA